UCUUGUAGCCAGCAGCCAUUUCACUCUGCAACUCACAUCUGGCGACCUGGUGAAGCUAAGCAGGUGUGAGCCUGGUCAGUACCUGGAUAGGAGACCUCCUGGGAAAAACUAAGGUUGCUACUAGAA
rfam:Lepisosteus oculatus unplaced genomic scaffold TNK3, whole genome shotgun sequence.